rnacentral:tRNA from 2 species
GGCCGGGUGGCAGAGUGGUUUAUUGCACCUGACUACGAAUCAGGAGUGCUCAUGAAUAGUGAGUACCGUGGGUUCGAAUCCCACCCCGUUUU